rnacentral:rRNA from 1 species
CAGUCGCCACGGUAAUACGUAGGGUGCAAGCGUUAAUCGGAAUUACUGGGCGUAAAGCGUGCGCAGGCGGUUGCGUAAGACAGGUGUGAAAUCCCCGGGCUUAACCUGGGAACUGCGCUUGUGACUGCACAGCUAGAGUAUGGCAGAGGGGGGUGGAAUUCCACGUGUAGCAGUGAAAUGCGUAGAGAUGUGGAGGAACACCGAUGGCGAAGGCAGCCCCCUGGGCCAAUACUGACGCUCAUGCAUGAAAGCGUGGGGAGCAAACAGGAUUAGAUACCCCUGUAGUCCCUGUCUCUUAUAC